CAACCUGCCCACCACUUGGGGAUAACCUUGCGAAAGUAAGACUAAUACCCAAUGAUAUCUCUAGAAGACAUCUGAAAGAGAUUAAAGAUUUAUCGGUGAUGGAUGGGGAUGCGUCUGAUUAGCUUGUUGGCGGGGUAACGGCCCACCAAGGCGACGAUCAGUAGGGGUUCUGAGAGGAAGGUCCCCCACAUUGGAACUGAGACACGGUCCAAACUCCUACGGGAGGCAGCAGUGAGGAAUAUUGGUCAAUGGACGAGAGUCUGAACCAGCCAAGUAGCGUGCAGGAUGACGGCCCUAUGGGUUGUAAACUGCUUUUAUAAGGGAAUAAAGUGAGUCUCGUGAGACUUUUUGCAUGUACCUUAUGAAUAAGGACCGGCUAAUUCCGUGCCAGCAGCCGCGGUAAUACGGAAGGUCCGGGCGUUAUCCGGAUUUAUUGGGUUUAAAGGGAGCGUAGGCCGGAGAUUAAGCGUGUUGUGAAAUGUAGAUGCUCAACAUCUGCACUGCAGCGCGAACUGGUUUCCUUGAGUACGCACAAAGUGGGCGGAAUUCGUGGUGUAGCGGUGAAAUGCUUAGAUAUCACGAAGAACUCCGAUUG
rnacentral:rRNA from 1 species